rnacentral:rRNA from 1 species
UAGGGAAUCUCCCACAAUGGACGAAAGUCUGAUGGAGCAACGCCGCGUGAGUGAAGAAGGGUUUCGGCUCGUAAAACUCUGUUGUUAAAGAAGAACAUAUCUGAGAGUAACUGUUCAGGUAUUGACGGUAUUUAACCAGAAAGCCACGGCUAACUACGCGCCAG